rnacentral:rRNA from 1 species
UACAGAGGUCUCAAGCGUUGUUCGGAUUCAUUGGGCGUAAAGGGUGCGUAGGCGGCGCGGUAAGUCGGGUGUGAAAUCUCGGAGCUUAACUCCGAAACUGCAUUCGAUACUGCCGUGCUUGAGGACUGGAGAGGAGACUGGAAUUUACAGUGUAGCGGUGAAAUGCGUAGAUAUCGUAAGGAAGACCAGUGGCGAAGGCGGGUCUCUGGACAGUUCCUGACGCUGAGGCACGAAGGCCAGGGGAGCAAACGGG